ACAUACUCUUAAGGGAUGUGCGAGCUAUUUACCAAAUAUAGUCCCAUUUCUCCAUGCUUAGAACUUCACAGAAACUCGAGACCUCCAUCCAUCUGCGGUAAUCAACCUAUUGACUUGAGGGCCAACAUGCACAUCGAAGGUGCUAUGUCAAGAACUCACUGAAAGAAAGAAAACAAAGUUGAUCAGGAAACUAAGCCAAGUCUAGAAUGAAGCUAAAAACAGAUCGAAUUGAGACGAGAGUGAUGGUGAUCUUACAAUGAUGACCAGCGUGGGUGAGAUCUAUAAAGGUCUUGGGACUGCUGAAGGGAUGACUUGGCCCAUCGUCUGUUGUAUUUCUCGCCAGGAACCAUGCUUAACAGACCUCCGUCCAUCCGCAGUAAUUAACCUAUUGACUUGAAGGCCAGCAUGCACAUCCAAGGUGCUAUGUCAAGAACCUACUUGGAGAAAGACAGCGACCUAGAACCAAGUUUUCUAUAGAGUUAUUCUUGUGCAUUCUGGCAGGUGUUGCCAAGCAUAAAGGUAGACGGCUUUCUUCGGAAAAUGUUUUGCAUCAGCUUUGUGAAUCCCAGCCAUGACUUCUUAAGAUAACUAAAGAAUGGCUUACUUGAUACGGGUAUUAACUUCACCAACCAACCAAUUGGCCAAGAUGCUGCCGCCAGCAGAAUGCAAGCCGCCCAUUGCCACCAAUUUAGUCUCUCGGUAUCGGCAAACUUCUUCAGAAACUCCACCAUAAUCACUUGAAGCACAAUCGUAAUCCCAAUAAUUGCAAUAAAUAAGUGAUUCUUAUGAAUGCCUUUGAAUACAUUCUGCUUCUCUAAGCUCCUUGAGUUGAAUUCAUUAAAAACUUGGCAAAGCACGAAAAUAUUGAAAAUUAAAGUAUCAUUCACCCCUGCACUGACAUUGAAUAUGGACUCGCCCCUGAAUUGCAGGGUCAGGAGGACUGCUAUCUGGUAAAGUGCUUGGGCUAGGAGAUUCCUCCACAUCACAUUGGUUAUGAGUGGUUCUGUACGACCUACAGGUGAUUUCUCCAUCAAUUCAUCGCUUGGUCGCUCUGUAGCGAGGGCAAGAGCACCUAGUGUGUCCAUGAUGAGAUUUACCCAUAGUAAUUGCACUGCAGUUAAAGGAACCUCACCUGCUGAAACUGCUGCAAUGAAAUUAAUUACCAAAGCAGCAACAUUUACCGUUAGUUGAAACUGUAUGAAUUUCUGGAUAUUGUUGUAAACACAUCGCCCCCAUCUUAAUACCGUCACAAGGGAGGUGAAAUUGUCAUCCAAUAUGACAAUGUCGGAACUCUCUUUGGCAACCUCAGUUCCUUGAAUGCCCAUGGAAAGUCCAAUAUCUGCUUCUUUUAGUGCUGGUGCAUCAUUUGUACCAUCUCCGGUGACCGCGACCACAUGGCCCUUAUUUUUCAGGCACUGCACCAUCAGCAACUUGUCGAAAGGGGAAGACCUAGCCAUAACACGGAUUUGAUUGACUUUUUGCAUUCUCUCAUCGUCGGUGUAGUUUCGAAACUCUGAACCCUCCACCACCUCUAUGCCAUGAUUUUCAGUAUCUCGACCAAGAAUCCCGCACUCAAUCGCAAUUGCUUUUGCUGUGAAGGCAUUAUCUCCAGUGAUCAUUUUUAUGUCCACUCCAGCUGCUAAACAAGUUUCUACAGCUUUCUUGGCCCCUGGUCGGCACGGGUCCUUGAUGCCAACUAUUCCUAGUAGUGUCAAGCCAUCUUCGCGCAGCAUUCUCUUGUCCUUCUCAUCGUAUUGGAAUCCACCGUCCCUGGCUUGCUUGUAAGCAAAAGCAAUGCAUCUGAGGCUACUAGCUGCCAUACCUUGGAUUAUUUUCUCAAAAUUUCUUCUUGCAGCAUCGUCCAUGCAUUGUAUGUUACCAUCAAUUUGAUAGUAAGUUGAGCACAUGGCUAGAAUCAUCUCGGCAGCUCCUUUCCAAUGCACAUACAUGGUGGCAUCGCUCUUCUCAUUUAUGAGGACGCCACUGCGUUUCUUUUCUGAGUUGAAAGUUUCGACAUAAAGAAUGUUGUAUUUCUUCUUGAUUUCUUCCAUUUGCAUAUUCAAUGAAUAGAAAGCCCAAGAAAGAAUUGCUUUUUCAGUAGGACUACCAGAAAUUUCGGGUUCAGCUACUGAUGAAGGCAUAAACACACUACCUGUAGUGUUUAGUCCAACAGCUUGAUGGAAUAGCUUAACAACAUCGGGGGCAAUUAUGCUGUCGUGAUCUUCUCCAAUGGAUUCUUCCCCCAACCAAAAUUGAGUUACCUUCAUCUUAUUCAACGUUAGUGUGCCGGUCUUGUCCGUACAGAUUACAGUGGCCGAGCCCAUGGUCUCGCAAGCAGAAAGUUUUCUGACCAUCGCCUGGUCCGCCAUCAUCCUCUUCAUGGAAUAUGCCAACGUGAGCGUUACGGCCAGGGGCAAGCCUUCAGGGAUUGCCACCACGACUAUCGUGACAGCAGCGGCAACAAUUUGUACGACCGCAUUCAAUAUGUCAUCCGUACUAGUUUUGCUACCAUUGUACUCCUUAUUUCCUUCCUCAUCUUUAGUGUUCCCAGUAAAAUAACGGACUAACAGCACAACAAGGACUAGAAAGGCUACAGCGAGGCCUACCUUUCCGAUGGAAGAGGUUAGUUUGUCUAACCGAGCUUGCAAUGGCGUUCUUUCAUUUGAAUCUCCAGAUAUGGAGCUCAUCAUCUCGCCCCACGCAGUGUUCAUUCCGACUGACACCACGAGCAUCCUAGCGUAUCCAUCAACCACCUUAGAGCCGGAAAAUAAGAAUGGAUUCCGAUCCGGAUCGAUUUCAACAUGGUCGCUCUCUCCUGUCAUGCUCGACUCAUCAAUUUGCAAGGAAUGGCCGCCCAAGAAUAACCCAUCCGCAGGAAUCUGGUCGCCAAUAGUUAGCAAGACGACAUCCCCGACCACCACGUCAAAAAUGGAAGUCUGUUGAG
rnacentral:lncRNA from 1 species